rnacentral:lncRNA from 1 species
CGCCCGCCGGGAAGCCUCGGCCGGGUUAUCCGAGCCUCAAUACUUACCUCCCGGAACGCCGCGCCGCCGCACCGGAAGUGAUCCCUCGUGACCCGGAAGCGAUGUGCUGGGAGCAGCAGCAGAUUCCGCUCAGCGGGUUUUACCAGGUCCACCGCUUCCUCGCCGUCUUCCUCCUGCUCUCCCCUAAUUAGACACCGAAGGUUGAAGCUUUAAUGAAUUUUUUAUUUGAUUUGAGACAGGGUCUCAACAGUGUAGCUCUGACUGGCCUCGAACUGGGGGCAAUUCUCCUGAUUACAGCCGGUCUCCCCCCAGUUUAGAACUCAGUUCUAAGUCUGAGCCAGAAAUCUACAAUAUAAGGGGUAGGACAAACAUUACCAUGCUAUAAUUCAGACAAAAACAAAUCACCAUAAUAAAUUAAAAAGAGACCAGUGAACAUCUCUGCUUCCAUGGAGUUUAUAGUCCUUGAUCAUUCCUGGGAAGUCCCGCAGAGUGAGAUUCACGUGGGCAGUUAUCAAGCCUCCAGCCAACGAACUCAGCUUGGCAGCCAGAUAAACUAUCUCUAGUGUGUGACAUGUACGGCCAGCCCUGGCAUGUUACUACAGGUAAUAUGGGAAAUACGCUGAUACGGGUGAUGUAGGUACAUGCUAACACAUGUACUCUGAAACCCGUUACUAUCUGUCUCCAAAUGUAAAAAGAAACGCCCAGUGUGGCUGCUGCAGGCACAGCCUCCUUCUUACUCUCUGGAGGUACCUAGAGGACUCCAGCUGAGUUUAGCUUCUCUCUGUGCCCUGCAUGCCAGCCAUUAGCACACAGCAGAGCUCUACGACUGGUUUCUCUCUAACUAUAAUGUAUGCACAGUCUCUUUUUGCACUGAGAGAGAAAGCACGGGGAUGGGAAUGGUUUCUACUCAGAAAAAUGUCUGACAUGACUCAACACAGGACAAGACAGGAUUUCCCACUGAACACAGAAGUUGCCAUUUUUGCUACAAUGGAUGACUAGAGGACCCUGGGAUCAACGCAAGCUAGGAUUAGCGAUGCAAGCCACCAUUUUACGUAGGUGUUGGGAUUGGAACUCAAGUGCCCGUGCUUGUGCAGGAAGCAUUUUACCCACUGCGUCAUCUCCCCAGCCCUUCACAUGCUGCUUGCUAUGUUUUGACUGGAUCCCAAGUACUGCCCUGCUCAAGGCUAAGUCUCAUUUCCAUCCAAGGGCGAAGGAAGCUAAGGCUGGGAAAGCCAGGCAGAGGCAUGGUCAUCUUUCCAAGCUCAGACCAAAUAUCAACAUCUCUGAAAAGGCCUCCAUCUUUUCCUGUAGCUGACAGAACUUCCUAAAGAUGGCUGCAGCAACGUCUCCCACAGAGUUCUCUGCUCUGAACAUCUGUACAAGAGAUACCAUGUCAGCCAGGCACAGCACUUAACUCUACUGAAAGGUAGUACAUAUGCACAGCAAGGACAGAGACACAUUCACCUCCGAGCCAGCAGGGACCCUGAGUGGAGACUCAUCCUGUGGUCAUUCUCUGAGCCUGCAGGAGCUGUAGCAUGGGCUGUUGAAGGUCUGUCCACUCUCUUUAUUCCAUUU